GAUGAACGCUAGCUACAGGCUUAACACAUGCAAGUCGAGGGGUAGCAGGGCCUAGCAAUAGGUUGCUGACGACCGGCGCACGGGUGAGUAACACGUAUCCAACCCGCCCUAUACUCGGGGAUAGCCUUUCGAAAGAAAGAUUAAUACCCGAUAGUAUAAUUAGAUCGCCUGAUUUGACUAUUAAAGAUUUAUUGCUGAUAGAUGGGCAUGCGUUCCAUUAGUUAGUUGGUAAGGUAACGGCUUACCAAGACAUCGAUGGAUAGGGGUUCUGAGAGGAAGGUCCCCCACACUGGUACUGAGACACGGACCAGACUCCUACGGGAGGCAGCAGUGAGGAAUAUUGGUCAAUGGACGCAAGUCUGAACCAGCCAUGCCGCGUGCAGGAAGACGGCUCUAUGAGUUGUAAACUGCUUUUGUACUAGGGUAAACCCUUCUACGUGUAGGAGGCUGAAAGUAUAGUACAAAUAAGGAUCGGCUAACUCCGUGCCAGCAGCCGCUGUAAAAC
rnacentral:rRNA from 1 species